AGUUUACGGUUAAUUGGCCCCCAAAUACAGGACCUGUCGGAAGGAAAAUAUUUUUACUUUUUUUUUAUUAUUUUUUCUGUGGCGUUUGUAUUAUCCAUUUAUAGCUGUGAUUACUGGAUAGGUUGCUGAAAAUAAUACCGAAAUUGGAGAGAAAAAAAAGUUAAGGGUCCGCGAUUUAAAAGAAUAGGGUCGGACCGGUAAUCGUAAAUAGUUUUUUUUUUAAAAUUUUGGCCUUAGUCAUAUGUUGACGCGUGUACUCUAGUAGUUAGGAUCAAUUUACACUCUGUUCAACUCAUUUAUGUUACAAGAUGAAGACAAACAAUCUCAUCAUAUGGUCUAUGGUUGUAUAUAUACUGCAUGUGUAUGCGUUAGAAGAUGUGCCAUUGAACAACCCCUGUGAAGCUGUAGAAUGUCCCGAAAGUACCCAUUGCCGUCUGCAACAGGCCGAAUGCAAUAAAACCGAAAAACGCUGUCCCAUUGUCACGGUUUGUGUUGAUAAAGCUUUAAACGCCACCAACCCAGUAUGCAAAACCAAUCUACCCAUCAUUGAUGCCACGAAUAAGGAAUUAUUCUGUGGCCGUGGAAAAGGACGUGUAAGAUGUCCAGCUAAAACCAAGUGCAUUUUUCACAUGCGUAACAAAUUUGCUGUCUGUUGUUACAAGAAAUCAAGAUACAAUCGUACAUAGAACUCUGUAUAAUGACAAAAUCUACUUGUACAUACAAUAAUAACAAUUUCAGCUCAUUUUUGUCAAUAAAACGUUAUAGAAAUUGGCGGA